rnacentral:rRNA from 1 species
UGGGGAAUUUUGGACAAUGGGGGCAACCCUGAUCCAGCCAUUCCGCGUGAGUGAAGAAGGCCUUCGGGUUGUAAAGCUCUUUCAGACGGAAAGAAACGGUUACGGCUAAUACCCGUGACUAAUGACGGUACCGUAAGAAGAAGCACCGGCUAACUACGUGCCAGCAGCCGCGGUAAUACGUAGGGUGCGAGCGUUAAUCGGAAUUACUGGGCGUAAAGCGUGCGCAGGCGGUUGUGUAAGUCAGAUGUGAAAUCCCCGGGCUCAACCUGGGAAUUGCAUUUGAGACUGCACGGCUAGAGUGUGUCAGAGGGGGGUAGAAUUCCACGUGUAGCAGUGAAAUGCGUAGAUAUGUGGAGGAAUACCGAUGGCGAAGGCAGCCCCCUGGGAUAACACUGACGCUCAUGCACGAAAGCGUGGGGAGCAAACAGGAUUAGAUACCCUGGUAGUCCCUGAGCGGGCUGGCAAGGCGCAU